UGUCACGAGUGCCAGUGCGAAGCCCCGGCUUGCUGGCCGGCAACCCUCCUCCGCGGUGGGGUGCCCCGGGUGAGGACACGGCCUCCUGCGCACCGCAGGUCGGCAAGCGCGGACU
rnacentral:ncRNA from 2 species